AUCCUGCCUCCCUAUCCUAACUCCCACUCCAUACAUCAGCUAUUGUGUUUCAAGCAUGAGCAUGCAUUUGGUUCAUCACUUGCCCGUG